rnacentral:rRNA from 1 species
UACGAAGGGGGCUAGCGUUGCUCGGAAUUACUGGGCGUAAAGGGCGCGUAGGCGGCUCUGUUAGUCAGGCGUGAAAGCCUGGGCUCAACCUGGGGACUGCGCUUGAUACGGCGGGGCUUGAGGGCAGGAGAGGCUCGCGGAAUUCCCAGUGUAGAGGUGAAAUUCGUAGAUAUUGGGAAGAACACCGGUGGCGAAGGCGGCGAGCUGGCCUGUUCUGACGGCUGAGGCGCGACAGCGUGGGGAGCAAACAGG